AUUAAAACCUAGCCACUGCAGAGA
rnacentral:siRNA from 1 species